AUCCAGCUGAUGAGUCCCAAAUAGGACGAAAUGCACUUCCUGGAU
rnacentral:hammerhead_ribozyme from 1 species